rnacentral:tRNA from 1 species
AAAGUUGUUUAAUGGAAAAUGAUCAGAAUUUUUCUGAAAUAUGUGAGUUCGAAUCUCACCGACUUUU